UUUUAGCUGCAGAAGACUGAAAUACUAACAGUUUUUUUUGUGGAUCUGAUUUUUUUAUUUCGCAGGAGUGGAUCUAAUCACAGCCUGUGAUAUUCGUCUGUGCACACAGGAGGCCUGGUUUCAGUCGUGUGUUCCCUGAUAGUCAAUGAUUGCUGGAGCUCUGGAAAUAGCAGGUGAGAUUGCAGGCCGGAGUCCCGUCGCUGUCCAGGGAACCAAAAUCAACCUCCUCUACUCCUGAGACCACAGUGUAACUGAGAGCCUAGACUACAUGGCUACUUGGAACAUGAACAUGUUGCAGACACAGGAUCUUAUGAAGUCAGCGCAGGCAGCCCUAGAAAAGAAGAGUCCGAAAGACGUGCCCUUCUCCAAGCUUUAAAGGAGAAGAUCCAGGGCUGUUGAAGCUGCGGUGGAACUGAGACUUCAUCAUCCACAUGGGAAUGAGAAACUCUGACACAACAGUACAUCCUGACCAUUGGUACUGUGUACACAUCAACAUACACACACGUCUCCAUGCUGGACAUCUCAGGAGCUUUCACACACAGUGCUAGGAAUAUCACGGGACAGAGAAACGCACCUCCAAAGUGAGCGAGUUUAGUGUCAACCGGUGAAAUUUGCUGUAGUGCGAACGCUUCGCCUCUGAACAGAAAUGAUCUUUCGAGGCAGCUUCUUCAUCACUACCUGCUCUGUUUGACUCAAAAAUGUAACGACCGGUUUCAAAAAGUCACAAUGUCUUCAGUUCAUGUGAUUUUACUGUUGAAUUUAAACAGGAAAUGUGAAAUAUUUUUUUCCUUUGUUUCCUCUACUGUCUUUUUGCUGUGAUCUUGAACACAGUUGUAAUUUUUUUAAAAUAAUAAAUAAAUGGUCAUUCUAUUCUUUCUCACUUUCCUUGUCCUAAUUGUCCUGUAUCUGUUAAAUCCGUUUCAUCUCUGGUCUUUCUGUCUGUAUGAACACUUGUAGAAAUGACUUGUAGUCCAUAUUUUUAAAUGAUUCAUGAUUUUGAAUUUAAAUAAAGAUAUUCUUUAAUUCUGUAUUUUGUCAUUUAAUUAUCAUUAGAAAUCAGAAGAUCAGAUUAAAGCCAUGGCUUCUUUACCUGCCGAAACUGUAAAACUUUCAAUAAAC
ensembl:lncRNA